GUUGAUGUCUCACCACGAAGACAAUAUGCCAAAUAUGAUCCUUUUGUAUUACCUGGUAAGUGAAAUAUAGUUAUGUGCUUGAGAUUUGAUGUUUGAUGAAAAGCCAUGAUUUGAAACUAUGAUGUUAUUGUAUCAUGAAUAGGUAAUUGUGAUCAAGCAUGUUUUAUUUCUUAUCCACGGGUACGUCGACAUUCAGCCGAUGAUUGGUGGGCAUGCGCAAAAAUUAUACCUCGAGGAAUCCGAGAAACGUUAGAAAUUGCUUUAACUACUUGGCAGGAUGAUAGACGUGACCAAGUUGCGGAAAGUUCAUUGUUACGGUUGGAAACACAUGUUGUUGACGAUGUGUCUGAUUAUGAUAUUUCUCCGGUGAAUCCUCCAAACGAUGAAUAUGUAUAAGAUUUCGAGGUACAAUCAGAUGGUGAUUCGGAAUAGUUAAAUAUAUUCUAAAAUUGUAAAAUAUGAUGUAAGGUUGUAAAAUAUGUUGUAAGCUUGUAAAAUAUGUUGUGAGUAUGUUAAAAAAAUUAUAUGAUGUAGAAUAUAUGGAAUAUGUAUGAAAGGUUUGGAUUGUAGUUGUUGUAUGAGUAUAAGGUUGAUAAGAAAAGGGUUUGGGUUUGGGUAUCGUAGUUUAUGGGUUAGGUGUUUGUGGUUUCGCGUUUUUAAUAUAGCCACGAUUAUAUAGUGGCUAUCUAGUGGCUAUGUGGAAAUUGGGACAAAACCAAUUGAUUUGGCUCCAACUGUUUUUAGUUUGGCGCUUGAUAUUGAAAUUUAGCCACUGUAAUGGCGUGGGUAUUUCGUGGCUUCUCUAAAAUUUUGGUAAACCAUUUGGGUUUGGCUCCAAUUUAUUUGGUUUUGGCGGUUCUUAUUAAACAUAGCCACUGUUAGCCACUAUACUUUCGUGGCUUUGCUGAAAAGGGUUUUAUACUCCGGUUUUCUUCUUUCUUCUCAACACUUAGAGAAAAAAGGAGAAACUCUCGACUCGCGACUCAACACAGAAUCACCUUCUCUGAUUCUAGUCUUGCCGUCUCUGAUUCCAAGUCGCGUCAUCUCCCGUCUCCCGCCUUCCGCCUCAAUCUCACACCACUCAAGGUAACCCUCUCUCUCUUCCCCUGACUUGAACCUCAAGCCCUUCGAUUCUCGAUUAGAUAUGAUGUUUUAGGGUUUCCGAUUUCUCUGUGUCUUCUUUGUGUUUGUCUUGCAUGUUUAUUUCUUGUUUUCGAUCUAGACUUUCGUCUUUUUGUUUUGUUUUGUGAGCUCUAGGGUUUUCGAUCUAGGGUUUUAGUCUGUCUAUUUUGUAAUUAGUAUGUCUACUUUGUAAGCUCUAGGGCAUUCGAUCUAGGGUUUUAGACUGUCUACUUUGUAAGCUCGCUGUUUCUGUCUCUGUAAUCAGUUGUCUUUGUUAGAUUUGUCUUUCUCUCUUUGUUUUCUCUAAACGAUGAAUAUGUAAGAUCUAAUGUGUUUUCUUUGGUUGUGAACAGAUGAACUCAACAAGAGUACAUGGAACACAUGUUGUGUCUCCUCCUAUGCCUCCUGGUGCUACUGGACCCGUUUUUAACCAUGCUGGAUCUCCUCCUAUGCCCCCUGGUGCUACUGGACCCGCUUUUAACCAUCCUGGAUCUCCUCCUAUGCCUCCUGGUGCUACUGGACCCGCUCUAAACCAUACUGCUUCCUCAUCUCGUUCCAACAGCUACCCGCAAAUGACCCUUAAUGCAAUGCUCAACUCACCUGCUCGGCUCUUACAGCCACAUCUCCAUCCCGAUAAGCUGAAUGGAGCUUUAUGGUAAGAUCACUUCCUCCUCUUGGAAUGUUUCUUUUAUUUGAAUUGUGCCUGUGAUUGCUAGGAUUGUUUCUGUUAGGAUUGUUUUGUGAUAGUUUCUGUAGGAUUUUGUCAUAGUAUUGUUUCUGUUACUAAUAUUUGUUAUCAUCUUAGGUUUGGUAUUGACCCAUCUGUCCAUGCUUUCAUCCGUGCAACUUGGCAAGGAUACUACAUGGGUCCUUGGAAGAGUUGAAGGAAGGUUCCAGAGGAAAGGAAGGAUUCAUGGAGGCAAACAUUUGUGGUCAUUGUCUAGUAUACGUUAUAUAUAUGCGUCUUACAUGUUUUUAAAUCACUUACUGUUUUUUUUUUUUUGUAGCAAAAUUUCUACUGGGAGUCUCAGUUUGAUGACUUGGUCUACGGUCUGUGGAAGAAAGAAACUUGGACAACCAUUGGUGAAAGGAUUAGCAAGAAGAAGAUGCAACACAAAAAGCCAAAGUACAUCAGUGAUAGCGACUCGACACUCCUUCUGGAGUAUUGGGCAACUGAUUAAGCUAAAAAGAAAAGCAAGAAGGCUGCUACCAGCCGCAAGUCUGAUCCGGUGGGUAAAAGUUGCCACAAGCAUAAUGCAGGACCUAGGUCUUUUGCAAGGAUAGCGUAUAACAUGGUAUAUUCCAUGUCUAUGCUCUGAAAUAUAUUUUUUUCUAACUGUCUUUCUAUUUUUUUUUUUUUGCAGAAGCAAGCGUCUGCUACGGGAGAACCACCAUCCUACACUGCCCUUGUCAGGGAGACACACUCCCGACCAGAUGGGACUUUUGAGGACUAUCGUGCUGAAGAACAGGUAACUCAGGCCGAGAUGGAAGCCACACAGCUCUCUAACACUGAAGGAUCACCCGGGAGUCCAAGUGCAUCAUCUGCUCCUUCUCGCCUCAUGUUAAACAAAGCUUAUCUGAAGGUAUGAUCACUUAACAUUUUCAUUCUCGGGAAUUUUUUUAUGUUCUGUUCUGUUUUAAAAAUUUCAUUGCAUAUGAUCAAUUUAUUUAAAAUGUUGAUUGUGUUACCUGAGUUGAUCAAAUUGCCUUAUGUUAGCUUAUGUUUCGUCUUGCUUGGUUUUGAAUAUCUUUCCAUUUCUCUUACAUAAUGCUAAGAGUAAGAGGGGAUAUGUUUACGGACUGGGCAGUGAACAAUACAGGGAGCAUGCGCCUUCUACACGCAUCCCCAAUGGUCUUGCCCGCAACCUGGAGCUGGAGAUGCGUGUGGGCGGUCUUGAGACAAGCCUCCAACGUGUCACUGCUGAUGUUGCUGGGGUGAAGCAGGACGUUGCUGGGGUGAAGCAGGACGUCUCAGACAUGAGGCAGGACUUUUCAUCAACAAGGGAAGCAAUCAAUCAGCUCCUCCAAACACUUAGGCCCCCGCAAGCACCUACUGGACAGACUUCUGAUCAGCCUCAAGCACCAACUGCUCAGCCUAAUCCUCCCAAUGGCAUUUAGAAGUUGGUUGUUUAUCUUAUAACCUCUUUUGUAACAAGGUCUUUUGAUAAUCUUCUUAGACUCAAAACUCUUAACCUUGUCUAUGUAAGUUUUUAUGAAUGAUGAAUCUAAGACUUAUCUUUUAUAUAUAUAUAUGAAGUUGUCGUGUUUAUUGAAUGUGCAAUGUUUAAUAAUUUGAAUGGAUAUCUAAUAUGAAAAAUUGGGUAAUUAAAACUAACCAAACGAAAUGCUUUUAAAAACCGUGGCUACAACAAAGCCACUAAAACACAGUGGCUAAAUCGUGGCUACGUUGGCUAGAAUAGCAACAAAUAAAAUAGUAGCACAAAUGUGGCUAACCUAGCUAUGAUAAAGAAAGUGACAAAACCGUGGCUAUAGUAGCCACUAUCUAUAGCCACGCUUUUAAUUAAUACUGUGGCUAAAAGAGCAACAAAAACGCGCGUGGUAAAAGCGUGGCUAUUAGCCACGAUAAGCCACAAUUUUUUUAGCCACGAGGCUAUAGCCACUGUAAUUUUUUGACAAAUAAACGUGGCUGUUUUCUUUUGUAGCCACAAAUAUUUUCUCUAUAGCCACGUUUUUGUAGUGGCUAUGCGGUGGAUUUUUACUAGUGGAAGUACUGCUUGUAUGAAGCUGGAAAAAUAUAGUACUACUAAAUCAGCCCUAGAAAAAGGCGCUUCUGUUGCACCUAAUGAAUCAAAGUUUAAGAAGAUGUUAGAUGAAUUCAAUCUUCUCAUUGCAGUUAUUACAUAAGCUUUUAAAAAAAAAAAGAACUAUGCGUUUCUCAGUAUUUUCCUGCACUAAUAUAAUUUUUUUUUAAGGCUUAGAUUUGUAGUAUAAUCUUUUUUUUUCUCUCGAGGAAGAGAAAGAUUUGGUUCAACAGAUGCCACCGACUUUUCCUUCAAGCUCUACAACACCACUAGCAACCGCAGCACUCCUCUUCCAAGUCUUGCUAAACCUAUGUUCAGGUAGUCUAGUUUCUAAAGUGUUUCUUUCUUUUUUUUUUUUGUUUAAUUUUUGUAUCACUUUAUCUCUCAGACUUUAUUGUUUUUCAACAGACACGAGUUCUAUCAAAAGCCAGAAGAAGUGGUGGUGACGAUUUUCGCUAAAGGAAUACCAAAGCAGAACGUAAAUGUUGAGUUUGGUGACCAGAUUGUGAGUAUCCUGCAAUCAGAUUUUUUACUGAACUUGUAAACCUAUCUCGCAAUGUAAUCUGACAUUGUGUGUCUCUUCUUUUUUUUUUGUCGUGUUGUGAUUGAUGUUGCUGGAGAGGAUGCUUAUCAAUUCCAGCCAAAAUUGUUCGGGAAAGUAUUUUUAUACCGCAAAUUAGAAUUGUCUGGUUUUUUACUAAAUCAUUCUUCAUGUGUGUGUUAUAUAAGAUAAUACCAGAGAAGUGCAGAUAUAAAGUAUUGUCAACUAAAGUUCAGAUUCAUCUCACAAAAGCAGAAAUAAUCUCACUUGGGCCUCUCUUUAAUAUAGCAAAUGCUAAGCUCUUUUGCCUAAACCCAAUGUCACAUCAGUGGUUUCGCACAGGCCAGUGUUCCCAUCUUCUAAGCCUCGAAAAGAAUCAGACAAGCUGAAAGCUGAAGUGAAGAAACAGGAGAAGGAUGAGAAGCUAGAUGGAGAUGCAGCUAUGAACAAGUUUUUCAGCGAUAUAUACCAGAGUGCUUAUGAGGACAUGAGGCGAGCUAUGAACAAAUCAUUUGCAGAGUCGAACGGGACAGUGCUGUCUACAAAUUGGAAAGAUGUUGGGACUAAGAAACUGGAGAGCACUCCUCCAGAUGGCAUAGAGCUUAAGAAAUGGUGGUAUCUAUUUAAAUAUUCAUUUAUGUGUCUUGUCAAAAAUAGUGACAAAUAUUUAAACUUCAAUUUUUUUGGUUUUUGCUUGAAUUUUCUCUUCAUUCUUGCGGUGCGGUCUGAAAAAAACGUUAUGAUUAUUGUAUUAGAAAACCUUGCAAGUUUGUGUGUACUUUUUUAGAGUUUCAAGCCAUUCUUGCAUUAUUAUCUUAAAUUGGACUAACUUUCGGUUGGAAAAUGUUGUCACCAUUACAAAACAAAUAUAACAUAACAAAACAAAACCACUGUGGGAACCGAAAUUUGCACUAUCGAUUUCCGUUUAAAUUAGGAGACUAGGAAAACUCUAAUUUCCCAGAGGUCCCGGAUAUCUGCUAAUACCACACGCCAAGCAAUCAGAACACGAGGUAACAACGAUAAAGUAUAAGAAAUCAUAAAAAGAGAGCAAAGAGAAGUCUUAUUCCGAAUUUGCAUAUGAGCGUUUACUACAAGGUAUAAGCAUGGGCUCGAGAGCUGUUGGCGAGAUUCCUAGUUCUAACAACCCUAAGACGGCUAAACCUAAUUGAGUCGCAGCUCGAAAUAACAAAAACGGAAAGUUGCCUAAUUGCUCUAAGUGCUAAGUUUUCUGUUAAAAAAGUCCUUCUCAUGCCUCUCGCCUAGGACUCCUUAUAUACUCCCUCCUAGGUCGGUUUACGUUUUUCCCCUUCUGUCCUUAACCCGUCAUAGCCAAAAAUAGAGAUAUUCCAUUUUUUCCGAUCUUCGUAAUUAUCUUCCAAAACUUUGUAUUUAUCCGCGGAAACUUGACAUUUAUCUUUCCUUGCGAACCAAGCGUAAAACGUCCUAUGGUUUACGGGCUGUUGGUUAAGAAAUCGUAAAGUGAGCUUCAAGUCAUGUCUUAGGUCCCUUUGGGCCGUCUUUUGGCUCGAAGCGUUUAUUACGGCUUCUUUCGAUAAAAACAAACAUUCCGCGGUUUUUAUCGUAAUGUUUGAUUGAUGACCUCAAAUGUCAAGAAACAUGAAAUGGGUUUGCUACGGUCUUCGGGAGAUAGCAUCAAAGGGUAGACGAGAAUGCAUGGAUUCGUGUCGCAUUCGACGUAGCGACCAAACGGCGCGCACGCUCGGUCGCUACGUAGCGACCGGGAAGUGUGCAUGUUCGGUCGUUGCGUAGUGACUGAGCUUGGCUUGUCUGUGUUCCGAUCGUCACACUCGAACGUAUCCGUGGCUGGUUUAAAUACGUUUCCGUUACCUUGGGACAGCUUGUGUUUGAUCUAACCGAGACUUGAACAAGGUUUUAUCUCGAGAUCAUGUGUCGUGACAUUAUUUUUACCAAGCGUAAUUAUCGCAGAAAGACACUCACACUUGUUUUUGCGGAGGUUUGGAUAUUAACUUCGUCGUAACCUUUUUCCACCCCAACAGUUAGCGCCCCAGCCCGUUAGAAUCAUGGAUUCCCGAUGAGAUUCUAGCUUGCGGUAUGGUGAGUUUGAACGACAUUGGCGUAUUUGGGCGAGGUUCAUAUCCAAAAGUCCACAAGUAAAUAGUAAUUUCUCAAGCCUAUAAGAAGGGAGGUAACUUCUUCAUAAUUUUUUCACUUGCUUGUUUUCAUAAGGAGCUUUCUUGAAAGAAAUUUAUCUCUUCUCUCCAUCUUUUUCUUCUUGUUUUCAUUUGAAAAUUACGAAAUGUCGAGUAGGAAAAAGAAUUCGAAGAAAGGCACCUCGUCCGCAAAUGUCAAUGAAGAGCUCCUUGUGCCGAAGAUCGAGUUUGUGCCUCAUUCGGUAGAUCCGGCUGAGAACGAGGCGUGGUGGGUUGCGAGAUAUGGUUCGAUCACAUCUCCCAACAAGAAAUCGUUCACAGUCUUGAACCAUCGUUUGGUUGGCCGAAUGUGGCCUUUGAACUUUGUAUUGGCCUGUUUUGGCCGUUAUUAUCUUUUAUCGGGCUGUUGGUUAAGAAAUCGUAAAGUGGGCUUCUAGUCAUGUCUUAGGUCCCUUUGGGCCGUCUUUUGGCUCGAAGCGUUUAUUACGGCUUCUUUCGAUAAAAAUGAACUUUCCGCGGUUUUUAUCGUAAAGUUUGAUUGAUGACCCAAAUGUCGAGAAACAUGAAAUAGGUUUGCUACGGUCUUCGGGAGAUAGCAUCAAAUGGUAGACGAGAAUAAAUGGAUUAGUGUCGCAUUCGACGUUUCGGAAAAGCUCGGUCGCUACGUAGCGACCGAACGGCGCGCAAGCUCGGUCGCUACGUAGUGACCAAGCGGGACACGCGCUCGGUCAAAAUAACCCACAUCAGUUUUUUGACCCCCAUUUUGUCAAUUACCCAUUUUCUUUUUUUUCAUCAUGUAAUUUUGAACUCAGAUGGUUAGUUAAAACAUGGUAGAAUUUUGUAUUUGAAUGUCUUGAUGUAUAGUACAUACUUGUGCUUUUCUGUUGCUAGUAAUUCUCUUCAUCUUUGUAUCCCUCCUACAGUUUACUUAACACAUCCAUAACCCCUCAUGGAUCAUGUUAUCAUUAUCUUGGACCUCUUCCAGAACCCUCUGUGUUCAUUAAUCUUUUCUCCCCAUAAGGUGGAUUUUUUUUCCUCUAAUCUCAUGCAAUAGCUACUCAACUUUGUAACAAAAUCUUGCUUGUAAUGUCCUCCUAAAUAUUCUCAUCUUCUAGAUAUUGAUUCAAUUAAACCAUUUUGUCAAAUCAAUCUUUUAUCCAAAUUGAACUGUUUUUUUUUUUCUAAAAAAUCUUAUAUUCAAUGGUUGGCACUAUAGGUCGGUGGUUAGAUCCUAUCAUUUUUUUUUUUUUUUUGAUAACUCUGGUAUCUGGGCAGCCACAUUCCCAACUAUCCCCCCGAAAGGGGUCCAGCGCCCCAACGGAAGGGAUGUUAAAUCCGUUGUGGCCAAGACUCGAACCCGGGUGGCGGGCAGUACAG